GGAUAGGUAUGCAAGCGGUCAACGCAAUCGGAUUGUAAAUCCGCCGCCUUAAGGGCUUCGAAGGUUCGAAUCCUUCUCUAUCCACCA
rnacentral:tRNA from 1 species